GACGAACGCUGGCGGCGUGCUUAACACAUGCAAGUCGAACGGAAAGGCCUUGCUUUUGUGGGGUGCUCGAGUGGCGAAUGGGUAAGUAACACGUGAGUAACCUGCCCUUGACUUUGGGAUAACUUCAGGAAACUGGGGCUAAUACCGGAUUGGUGCUCCUGCUGCAUGGUGGGGGUUUGAAAGUUUCGUCGGUUGGGGAUGGACUCGCGGCUUAUCAGCUUGUUGGUGGGGUAGUGGCUUACCAAGGAUUUGAUGGGUAGCCGGCCUGAGAGGGUGACCGGCCACAUUGGGACUAAGAUAGGGCCCAGACACCUACGGGAGGCAGCAGUGGGGAAUAUUGCACGAUGGACGGAAGCCUGAUGCAGCAACGCCGCGUGCGGGAUGACGGCCUUCGGGUUGUAAACCGCGUUCGCCUGUAGCGGAGCGUGAGUGACGGUAAUGGGUAAAGAAGCACCGGCUAACUACGUG
rnacentral:rRNA from 1 species